UACGGGGGGGGCAAGCGUUGUUCGGAAUUACUGGGCGUAAAGGGCUCGUAGGUGGCCAACUAAGUCAGACGUGAAAUCCCCAGGCUUAACCUGGGAACUGCGUCUGAUACUGGAUGGCUUGAAUUCGGGAGAGGGAUGCAGAAUUCCAGGUGUAGCGGUGAAAUGCGUAGAUAUCUGGAGGAACACCGAUUGCGAAGGCAGCUCGCUGGAACGUUACUGACGCUGAGACGCGAAAGCGUGGGAGCAAACAGG
rnacentral:rRNA from 1 species